CCUACGUGGUGCAGCAGUGGGGAAUAUUGCACAAUGGGGGAAACCCUGAUGCAGCGACGCCGCGUGAGUGAAGAAGUAAUUCGUUAUGUAAAGCUCUAUCAGCAGGGAAGAAAAGGACGGUACCUGAGGAAGAAGCCCCGGCUAACUACGUGCCAGCAGCCGCGGUAAUACGUAGGGGGCAAGCGUUAUCCGGAUUUACUGGGUGUAACGGGAGCGUAGACGGCAGUGCAAGUCUGGAGGGAAAGGCGGGGGCUCAACCCCCGGACUGCUCUGGAAACGGGCCGGCUGGAGUGCAGGAGUGGUGAGUUGACUUCCUAGUGUAGCGGUGAAAUGCGUAGAUAUUAGGAGGAGCACCAGUGGC
rnacentral:rRNA from 1 species